AGCAGGGAGCCUGGAAGGGGGACCGAAUGAAGACCCAGCCCUGUGCCCUGUGGGGACAUCAGUCAGCCUCUGUAGGCCCGCUGAACCGUGAGUCAUGGGUGCACAGCCCUCGCCAAGAACAAGUUAUGGGAUCGUCUCUGCAAGCUCUGAGCCCUUCCCAGCCCGCACUCCCACCACGAGUUCAGCGACGGAGCAGCGCAGAAGAGAAACCCUCCACUUCUCCCUUCUCUGGUUUCCCCAGAGUUCUGCUACUUACCUGGAGAGCCUGGUGGCUUGUGCUGGCUGCUACACCUCUGAACCUGCACAGUCCCAACCCCAGUAAGGGAAGCGUCUCAGGCAGGGCUUGAGUGGCCGGUCACUGCCCAUUCUGCCCAGCUCCUCUCUGGUUCUCAGCUCGGAUCUCUGCCCCGUUCCAUUCUCCCAACUCAGCAAA
rnacentral:lncRNA from 1 species